rnacentral:ncRNA from 1 species
CCUUGAGAAACGCAAACCAAGCGAAAGCUUGGGACGCAAAGUCCGGAGUCUACAGUGCAUCUUCCCGCACAAUGACCGUCCGACCGCCACG